rnacentral:rRNA from 1 species
GACGAACGCUGGCGGCGUGCUUAACACAUGCAAGUCGAACGGAAAGGCCCUGCUUUUGUGCGGUGCUCGAGUGGCGACCGGGUGAGUAACACUUGAGUUCCCUGCCCUUGACUUUGGGAUAACUUCAUGAAACUGAGGCUAAUACCGGAUAGGAUCUCCUGCUGCAUGGUGGGGGUGGGAUAGUUUCGGCGGUUGGUGAUGGAAUGGCGUCCUAUCAGCUUGUUGGUGGGGUAGUGGCUUACCAAGGCUUGGAGCGGUAGCAGGCCUGAGAGGCGGAGCGGCCCCACUGGGCUUGAAAUACGGCCCGGACUCGUCUGGGAGGCAAGGGUGGGGAAGAUUGUAUAGUAGGAGGAAGGAAGAUGUAAUACCGCAGUGUGGCGGAAGAGGUGAAUGGGUUAGUAUUGUAAUGUUGUUUUAGACGAAGCGUGAGUGACGGUAACGGGUGAAGAAGCACCGGCUAACUACGUG